CGGGUGGCGGACGGGGGAGUAAUGUCUGGGAAACUGCCCGAUGGAGGGGGGUAACUACUGGAAACGGUAGCUAAUACCGCAUAACGUCGCAAGACCAAAGAGGGGGACCUUAGGGCCUCUUGCCAUCGGAUGUGCCCAGAUGGGAUUAGCUAGUAGGUGGGGUAACGGCUCACCUAGGCGACGAUCCCUAGCUGGUCUGAGAGGAUGACCAGCCACACUGGAACUGAGACACGGUCCAG
rnacentral:rRNA from 1 species